UAUAUUCAUGAAUACCUUCCUGGCUGUGUUUAGGCAUUGAAUCCAGAGGAGGGAUUCUUCAGCCUCCUCUCUCUGAAUCGAUGCAGUCUUACUAUUGUGCACUGGUGACAUGUGGGGAGGACAGUACUGGAAAUGAAACCGAGGAGGACAGUAAGGAUUAUAACCAGAGUAUGCACGUACUUGUGAUUCUCUCGUUUGCAAGGAGUGGAUGUCUUGUCAUUGCAAUUCCAAUAAUUACAAUGAUCUUAAGAAGAGAAUAACCCAAAAUGAAGUAUGAGCAAAGGUGAGAUUCUGGGCUGAAGCCCCCAAAAAGGAACAUUUUCACAAAUAAAGAAGCUUAUUAAAUGCAUAUAGAUAUUUUAGUUUUGCUAUUGCAAUGGUAGGAAAUGUCCAGAUGUCCUAAAUUUCCACACCACAGACUGAAGCGGACAAUGACCAAGGACAAAUAUGAAGGAUUCUAUUACUGUGGAGUUAUUCCACUGAACUGCAGUAUUUUCAUAACAGUAAAUAUGGCUAAUUCUCCCUGCAUUGCAAAGCAAUCUGUUUAAACUGCUUCCAAAUUAUGAAGAUUGUAUUUUGUUUUGCCUAAGCAGAUAAGAACUAUGCCUGUAACCACAAUUGUACCUUAAGGGUCAGUAAAUGCACAAUAAACUAUGCAUUCUUGCAAUA